UGAUCUUUCCGGACCACAGUCCGAACGAAGCCCAAGGUGCACAACAAGUGUGACAUCUUCUUGCUGCUACAUGUGGAUCGCUGGUUCCCUUUCUGGACUGGUAUACAAAAAAAUUGGACUGCUAUUUGUUUUUCAUCAUAUUUUUUUAUGGGUUGGCGAUGUGCACUAGAAAUUCGUGAACUGACCAUAACAAGUGAUAUGCAAAUGUAAUGGAUAGUAACGAAAAACAUUUAAGAGUUGACUUCUGAAUCUUGCAAGUUUUAUAACACUCCAGGGCAAUGAGUUAUGCAGUCACUGUUAUAUUUACAGUGUUGGUUCUAAAUUGCUUGGGCUAUAUCUCAACGGAAGAGACUUCACUUAUGAGAUCAAAACCUGCAGGUACUCAUUACAAGCUGCAUACAUUGCAUUCCCUGGCCAGCCAGUACCUGAAACAUGCUUCCAAAUUCAGCACAACAGUAGACUUUACUGUCCCACUUUUCUCAUUUAAGUUUCCUCUUGGUGAACAAAACAGUAGUACAGCUAUCAUUCAGCAAAAUUUGAUUGGGCAAUUAAUUUAUUUUUUUAUUACUGCAAUUUCAUUUAUUGCAUCAAUUUCUGUACCCUAUUUUAUUAACAAAGUGAAACAAAAUGAAGAUACACCAAAAUUACAACUAGAAAUAGAUUACUGUAAUAAAAAGUAUCAUAACCACUAUAUGUGGCAAUUAUUAUGUGAAAUCAAUGAAAAUGUGGUAAAGCACAACAGAAUUCCAACAGCAUGAGCAGAAUCUUAAACACAAACAGAGUAUACUUUCAGAAUGUAACUGUGCUGAUUUUGAAUUUGUGGUACUUCAAUGAAAAAGGAGGUUACUGAUGAUUUCUAGCUGCAUUUCUGAAAUAAUGAAAUGAACCAGUUCUUGAACGGUAUAUCUGUGGCGUUGACAUUGGAACUGGUGACCCCUUCUAAAAAUUGUAUGUAUUGUAUUGUAUCAGUAAAAUAACUGCCUUAAAACAUGCAGUAAAUUUGUUUGCAACCUGUUUUCAAGUGCAUGUAUACUAAAGCCACAGAAAACAAACCUGUAUGUAUAAAUUAAGAAAUUACCCUAUGUAUUCUCGAAUUAUUUGCUACAGAUAUGACUGACACAUUAAAGUGCUCUGAAUGAUGUUCUAUCAUGGGCAAAAGAAUAGGUUUUAAUUGAGAAAUGGCUGACUCUAUUGUUUUCAACUGUUUAUAAAGGGGACACUUAAAUUUUAAUGAUGUUAAUAUAAAUAAACAUUGUGGGCAUUUCUAAUAAAACUUUGACUAUUUACAGCCAGUAAGUUUUCUAUUUAUGAAGUGAAAACAUUCCAGGAAUGCAGGAAGAAAAUUUCUCAAGCCGGCACACACAUGGCUCUGAUAUCAAUUAAAAUUUGUUUAUGUUAUUUUCUUACAUGUUGCUCAAUAUUUUAAAUCUGUGGUAAAGAUUUUUACUAAAGUGCUUUAAGUAGUCACGUUAUGUGUGAAUAAACAUGGAUACUGUUAUGUCUUUAAAAAAAUUCAUCUUUGGAAAGUGUAUCACAAAAGGAAAUUCAUCCAGAAUUGGUGAAAAUUUAGAAGCAAGCUGGUUCUUAAUUUUCGACAGUUGAGAAAUGAGCAGCUGAAUUUGAAUGUAGUGUACUUCUCCUGAGGAUGGUCCACAACCACAGAAAGAAAAAUGUCCAAUAUGGUACUGAACAAUUGUCAAUUACAGAUACAUGAAGUAGUUCAUGUCAUAGACAUUACAAAAUAGACAUUACAGAAGGAAGAAUGUGGCGGAUUUUACUUGAUAAAUUAUCUACAUUACAUAAGAUAUGGGCUGCAUUUGUAGAAUGCUGACAAAGAGAAAUUGGGAAAGUGAAUUUUUUAGUGACUGGGUUUGUCCACUAAUUUGUUAUAAUGGAUGGAUAUAGAUCCUCCUCUACUUCAUGUGAAAAGUGAAGUAGUAUCAAUUGCAACAUGCUGGCCCUGGACUAAAAACAUGAAAAUGAAAAUUAUGCAGCAAACAUUUACAGACAUAGUUUUCUAGAUUUCAAAAGAGAUUCCUCUCAUUGAAUGCCCUAAAAAUUAUAAAACAAACACUGGCAAACAAUAUAAAAGUAUUCUGAGCCAACAGAAAGUAAAUAUGUAAGAAGAGUCCUAUACUGAAAUAGAAGGAAAAAAUGUUUAAUGAAAGUCAUUUUUGUACAUCACCAUGAGAUUCUAGUAAGCAAAUUUUUAUUAGCUUUCAGUUUCUAUCUGUUUGAUCAUCAUCUGGUAAAGUAAAAGUAUAAAACAUGAAACAAAUCUGAAAAUCUCACAGAUGGUCUCAGAAAAUAAACAAAACAAGAUUUACAAACAAAAUACCUACCCUGGCCUGCAAAGUAAUCACCAUUAGCUACAACACACUUCUGACGUUGGUUGUAAAGCUGUUUGAAACUGUCAACAAGUGGCAUCUUGCAGAAUUGCUCGAAGCAUCAUGGUCACAUGUUGUUAGACUGUUCACUAACACCUUCUUUAUCCUCUAUAUUUGAUGCCAGUAGACUUCUGUUUGCUUCUCUACCUUAAACUAGCCCUGAAACACUUAUGUUCUUGUGCAAUGUCUCUAAAGCAUAAACCUUUCAGGGCUAAUUUUAGGCGGGGAAGCUAAAAGAAGUCUGCUGGUACCAAAUCUGGAGAAUAAGGAGAGUGCUGAAAAAUAGUUACCUUCCAGGGUGACAUAGGUAAGCAUGCAGAUAGCUAACAAUUGGUAACAAAAAAUGAAAUGAGCGUGUGACAUUGAUGGCUGGGAGGUCCUGUUUGGGAAAGUUCGGCAGUCGGGUGCAAUUUGAGGUGACACCACAGUGAGUGACUUGCACAUCAGUGAUGAUGAAGACACCACAAUACCCAGUCCACAAGCAGAGAAAAUCUCCAGUCUGGCCAGGAAUCAAACCUGAGCCCACUGCAUGAUAGGCAAGCCAUUACCACUCAGCUAAGUGGGCAGACACAUUUGGUAACAGUUUCCAACAAUAUUAAAACUGAUUUCAGAAGUGUGUUGUAGCUAAUGGUGAUUACUUUGAAGGUCAGUAAAGGUAUUUUGUUUGAAACUCUUGUUUCCUUUAUUUUCUGAGAUCAUUAAUUGUACACUUUGGACAUUCCUUGUAUAUUUUAAAAAAUGUUGUUUCAGUAGAGCAUUAUUCCUGCCCACAAAGGUGUUUUGGCAAUGGGAAGCUUGAGGAAAUUGUAGUAUAGGUUGUUGGAAGAGCCAGAUCAGAUAGUAUCUGACUUUCACUUAUAUCUGCAUCCAUAGAAAUAUAGGGCCAGAGCUUGAUUUCAUUCUAAUGAAAAGGCUCUGGCAGCUUGAAAUUUACAUGUUGCAAACCUUUCAGAAUUUUAUAUAUCCUUUGUAUGUAACACCAACAAUAGCAUGAAGAGAACUUGAACAGAUUUUGAUGAUAAUGUUAAUCACUAAAAGAAAAACAUUAAACUAUAAUUUGACUUUCACUCAGCUUAUAGCUUUAGUUUUCCUACAAAAGUGAAAAUCAUAGCAGCAGAAUCUGUCAUUUACAUAUAUCAUUAAAUUCAUUGGCAAACAUUUUUCUGUAGUUGAUUUUAUGUUAAGAGAGAAAUGCUGGUUUUAUUCAAAUUUAUGAAACAUAUUGUUUUGAUGAAACAAAAAUAAUUUUCAGUAAUAAUGUAUAAAUCAUUUCCCAUAAUAUGAUUUUAUGUAAUUGCUUGUGGUGAUGUGACAUACAAAAUUAUGGUAUGAUGACUAUUAACAAAAUAGAUUUUGGUGAAGCCAAUGAUAACUUCUUGAGUAUUCUGCCCACCUAUUGUACUUCAUUACUGUUUAUGUAAGUUAAAAGUAUAACCUUACGUAGAGUACUGAUAUAUACAGCAUAAUAACAGUUAUAGACAGGAUUAAUUGUAUCAUAACUAUAAAUUGAGCAAGUUGGUGCUGUGGUGGAAAGAUGGUGAUUCAAAUAUUUGUGCCACCAUCCUCAUUUAGCUUUUUUGGUCAUUUCAUGAUCUACAAAGUACACAUGAUACAAAAAUAUAUUAUGUGAAAGAAGAUGUAUCAUCCUACACAACUUACUUAUCAGAUGUUGCAAAAGCUAAGCAGUGCAGCAAAACACUUCCAAUUUCUCAGCAACAUUCACUGCUGCAUGGAACAGAAGAAUGUCAGAGUUAUGGGUGUCUUUGCUAGGAACUGUUAACUUUAAAAUGUUUAAAAUGUUAUAUCUUGAAAUAUAUGGAUCUGAUUUUAA